AAAUCAUGAUAAGGGCACCUCAUCAAUAGUUCUCCAAAUCGUUCACAUGCUUUAAAUAAGAAUUCUAACUUAUGUUGCUGGGAGUUUGAUAUCUCUAUCAUCAAAUU